UACGUAGGUGGCAAGCGUUAUCCGGAAUGACUGGGCGUAAAGGGUGCGUAGGCGGUUAAUUAAGUCAGAUGUGAAAAUCCCGGGCUCAACUUGGGAACUGCAUUUGAAACUGGUUAACUAGAGUGCAGGAGAGGAAAGUGGAAUUCCUAGUGUAGCGGUGAAAUGCGUAGAUAUUAGGAGGAACACCAGUGGCGAAGGCGACUUUCUGGACUGUAACUGACGCUGAGGCACGAAAGCAUGGGGAGCGAACAGG
rnacentral:rRNA from 1 species